rnacentral:lncRNA from 1 species
AAAGAUUAUACAACAUUGGUUAAAUAGAGGAAAUCCAGAGUUGCCAAAUUUCUCGACCUCCCCCUAACUCUAAAUUGUGAGUUCAGAUAUUCUCUAGGGUGAGUUAUUUGCGCCGCCUAGCGCAUAAAACCAGGAUUUCUUCAUUCAUUACAACUAAAAAAUAUUUAAAACAUUUUCAGCCGGGUUUACCUUGGUUAGCCUUGUUAGUAGCCUUGUACAGUACAAAACAUUAGAAAAUAAUUAUAAAUCAAUAGCUUAGUAGGUCAAUAGUGAAGUACUUCAAUAGAUUAGCAUUAGUAUAAGUAAAUUGCGAAAAACCUUGCACUUUGCACUUUAACUCAGCAUGAUAAAUUUUCGCAUGAUCUGAGACAUUUUUUAUGAAAAUUUUUCUAAGAUUUCAUCUUUCUUGAGAUUUAUAAUCCACAUAGAUUUUCUUUUUUUAAAUUUAAAUCUUACAUGAAUUACGGUUUUUUUAAUUUCGUUGUUGAAUAUUUCUGAAUUUUGGUGUUUAAGAUCUUCUACUAUGUCAGCCCCCCAAGAUAAAACGUAUGAUUUAUCGUAUGAUUGAUUAGUAUGAUUGAUUAGCGCCACUUGACGCAUAAACCAAACACCUGUUUUCCAUUCAUAAGGACAAUAAUUCAGUACUUCAAACCCUAAGUGGGUACAGUAGUUAAGUGGUUCAGCACCCUUAUCUCACCCCCCCCCCCCAAUAAGCCUUGUAAAUAACCUUGCACUUCAGUCCCCCCCCCAUCUAACCCAAACUAAGAAAAAUAACCCAACAUUGUAAUAGUAGCAAUAGUCUGCAGUAGAAAAUAAUGUAGGUAGUAUGUACAUAAGUAAAAUAGCCAUAAAUCACUCAGCCACUCAAAUCAAGAAAGCGGGCAAUAGCAGAACUCAACGCAGUCGGACUCUCCGAAGGACCCACCUCAGAGACGCGUUGAAAACAAGACCCUCUUGCGAGCGACAACACUGUGAUCUACGUCACGGGGACCUAACCCUACAACACCUCCAUAGCAACCAAACUUGCAGAGGCAUCCCAACGCGCACGGAGUUCAAAUACUCAACCACGAUCACAAUCGCGUGCAACCACAAUUUUUCCCACAACAGUAGGCAUCAACGCCAGGUCACCAGAUUGAAUCAAAAAUCUGUGACUUAAGGUGUAUUAAAGUCAGAUUUCUCCACCACAAUUGGCAGCCCCGCAGACACAGCAAAUCAAUCUCCGCGGCACUGACCCCAUGUGGAAACCUGACAGUCACGAAAACGCUGACAUCAAGAUUCUCAGCCACAAGUGGCAACUUCGCCAAUCUCCUGACGUACGCAAGGAACUGGCAGUGCGUGGAAAUCCAACGGUGCGAUCAUGGGUGCAGAAAACUGAAACUUUUCUUCAUAAGCCACAGUUGACAACAACUUCGGAUUACCAAAACGAUCUCCACACAUAAUGGGAGACCUACAGAGGAGGAACAAGCAUUUUUUUUAUCGGGCACAAUCUUCUAUAUUAAGCCCACCUUUUUUUAUUAAUGUUACUUGCGAUUACACAGCAAAAAUCGCAGACUGAGGUCGGGGAGAUCGCGAACAAACUUAUUUUCUGAGUAAAUCCAUUAUAUCACUGCUCAGGCCUUUAUUUUCCGAAAAAAAGCUAAAAGUCAAACCGAUCUCAGGACCUCCGGGAAACCAUGCCACCCUCGCACCACGACGACGGACAUCCACACCAACCCGUCAAGCACCUAAUGACCCAAAUAGCCAGCUGCCACUUGCCCGAGUGUUCCCGAUAUCGCUCAAAAACGCAAGACAACACGGUCAACACGCUCUCCUCACGGCUCCAGACAAGUCCACAAGACUGCAAACGGCCGCCAGACGCACGGGGCCCAGGGCAGACGCCCCCCCCGCCGACAGCCAUAAGCCACCAGGGGUUCCAGGGCGGACGCCCCAUCCUCUAGUCUCUGCUUCCAGGGGAACCCAGGGCGAACGCCCCCUCCCCCCCCCCCCCCGAUGACGCAAUUUGAGUGGUAUGAGUAAAGAACACAACCUAAAGUACAUACAUACUUAGGUAUAGAAUCACUUAUAAUUUUUUUUUACAGUAGGAUUCUUGUACUUCCUCAACGUAGAUCCUACACAAAAUUCACGCGACUAUCAAACAAGUACGCUCACCUGUUCGGGACACCCGAAACGAGGCAAGAAGCUCAUCGCUCCUCGGCCCCACGCCGAGAGUCAGUGACCUUCGCGCCAGCUGAUCGACUCGUAUGACGCCGGCGACAAACUCCGAGUGCUCCCCAGCGUCAUAUUUCACUCGCCUCCUUUCACUGUACAGUUAAAUCUUUGUAACUAGAUCCAGCGUUUAGAUUUAAGAAUGACAGUAGCAGGUUACUGCUUCCAAAAGGGCGGGCACAAGGAAUGAUAACAAAUUUUUAUUCUCAACCACAACCCCCGAGAUUCGAAACCCUCGGACCCCAGUAUUGACCCACUGCUUCCAAAACGCUCGACCUCCCAGUGACCCACUGCGGAUAAUGAGGUCAUUAUCCUGUGUCGUUGUAGGGGGAGUAUAAUGGAAUAUUGAAGUUACGGUGGUUUUGGAAACAGCGGGCCAAUAUUGCGCCGCGAGACCGGUGGAUCCGCGAGGUUCUCAUGACACAGCAUGUCAUAUCCGGCAGUAACACGGCUUAGUGACAUCCAGACACAGCCUUGCCAGAUCGCCGGGGGAAUCCCUCAAUUGCGCAUACCCCAGUCUUGAGGGCUGAGCCCCGGAAUCCACGGAACGGCGACAGCUAAUCCUCGCGCUUUCCGAGAUUUCAGAGUCCGAGCGGAUGUGACAUGCAUGGUCAGGGGUUUUUGGCGAACUAUCCGUGGGAACCAGUGGCCUAGGGACCCAUCGGCUGGCCUGCUGAAGCCUCCUGAAUUCAGUCGUCUUGCUAUCUCUGCCUGCGUCUCCUCGCGGAUCCUCCGGCUAGCGUCCCUACCCUUAGUCGAGUCCUCGAGUAUCCCUCGGUUGAAAGUUCGGUCUAGCGGUUCGUCCCCCACCCUUCUUUUGGCCCAGCGGCUUUCCACUUUUACCCCGAGCCCUUGGCUCCUCGAAUCGUUCCGUCCCGCGUCCCUACCCGGUGAUUGAGCUUUCCGAGCUCCCCCCCUUCUACGCACUCAAAAAAAAGGAAAUGUCGAAGUAGCAUUAACCGCCAUGAUGAAAUGACAUGACAGAAAUUAUGUUGAUAUAAGCUGCACUCCCCGUAACCCAACAUGGUUUGACUUAAUUCUACAUGUGCCGUCAUGUUGAAUCAACAUGACCGAGAAUGCUGCUACCUGUCAUGUUGGAUCAACAUGACGGUAAUGUUUGAGUAACAUUACUCAUGUUAACUCAACAAAAUGCAUGUAAAUUUAGCACAAUGUCAGCCUGAAACUGUAUUACACAUGUUGUUUUAACAUUCCUUUGGUUGAAAGAACAUUAACACUUUGUUUAAUUAGCAUAUGCAGUGUUAUAUUACCAUCUACUUUCAUAUUGUUGGAGGAGUACCGUAGUGCUCUUGAAACAUCAUGUAUGUAUGUACUUGAAAAGAGGGAUGGCGUCUCUCCUCCUCUCAUUCCUCGUCCUCCUCCUCCUCCUCCUCCUCCUUCGCUCCCUCCUCCUCCGCUCCCUCCUCCUCCGCUCCCUCCUCCUACGCUCCCUCCUCCUACGCUCCCUCCUCCCCCUGCCCUCCCUCCGUCCCUCCCCCUGCCCUCCCUCCCCUGCCCUUCCACCCUCCCCCUGCCCUCCCUCCCUCCCCCUUCCCAUCAUCUGGGUACUUAAAAAGACGGGUGGCGCGGUAAUAUAAGCUUUGCGUAUGUUAAUCUCCUCCCCCUCCCCUCCUCCCCUCCUGACUUUUCGGGAGAUUUCUAGAAGUCAUGGGCCGAUUCCUUAGGAGAAUUUGAAAGUUUGCGGUCGCUGGCUGCAGGCUGCUGACCGUGCGGUCCGUGCCCAAUCAUUCAUUGAGAGAGAAGAUGAAAUUUCCAUCGAUGAGAUUUUGAGCGUUCUGGAGCCACGGCCAAAUGUACAGUACCGAACCGUUAACAUAAGAUAUGUUGCGGAAGCUUCAUGAGUUCAGUUCAUAAGCUAGACAUCUAAGCCGCACCUGACUCGAUAGUCUUGACACUAAGACAAGAUUGUCUUC